UUAGUGGCGAACGGUCGCGUAACACGUAAGCAACCUGCCCUGAAGUGGGGGACAACAGUUCGAAAGGACUGCUAAUACCGCAUGUGAACGUUAGGUGGCAUCACCUGACGUUUAAAGCUUUAUGCGCUUUGGGAUGGGCUUGCGGCCUAUCAGCUUGUUGGUGGGGUAACGGCCUACCAAGGCUUUGACGGGUAGCUGGUCUGAGAGGACGAUCAGCCGGAUUGGGACUGAGAUACGGCCCAGACUCCUACGGGGGGCAGCAAUUAGGAAUCUUGCACAAUGGGGGAAACCCUGAUGCAGCGACGCCGCGUGUGGGAUGACGGCAUUCGUGUUGUAAACCACUUUUAUCAGGGAAGAAGAAUGUGACGGUACCUGGUGAAUAAGCCCCGGCUAACUACGUGCCAGCAGCCGCGGUAAUACGUAGGGGGCGAGCGUUGUCCGAAGUUACUGGGCGUAAAGCGCGCGUAGGCUGUCUCUUAAGUUUGGGGUGAAAGGUUCACGGCUCAACCGGAACAGUGCCUUGAAUACUGGGAGACUUGAGUUUGGCAGAGGAUAGUGGAAUUCCUGGUGUAGCGGUGAAAUGCGUAGAUAUCAGGAGGAACACCCAUGGCGAAGGCAGCUAUCUGGGCUAAAACUGACGCUGANGUGCGAAAG
rnacentral:rRNA from 1 species